ensembl:lncRNA
GUCAUUGCAUGGAAGCUACAAAUAGCAACUUUUUUAAAGCUAUAUUAAUAUAUAAAUUAUCUAAUCAAACACUUGUUUGAAUAAGUAUCUCAGCCUUACACUGAUCUUAAUUCUCUGCUACCCUAACAAGUCUGAACCGCUGACAAGUUGGCCUUCAAAACAUUUUAUUUCCAAAACUUUGAUGAUAAACUAAAUACUUUUUUUAUCUAAUCAGAUGGAGAAACCAGAUUAAACCAGUAGGCUAUAACAAAAAGUGUUUUAGAAAAACAUUGCAUACUGUCAGGUACAGACGCAGACCGAAAUGACCAGAAAUGAGGUCAACUUAAACAGGUUGGUUUAUUAGAUGUUUUAGCAGGAACACAAUUGAUAAACAGGUAAAUGACAAAUGUGGAGCUAAAUGGUGAGAGUAAAAAAAAUUGGAUAAAUUUCAGUCUUUGUCUUAUAGAGCCGGUUGAGCACACAAACAAACAAGUUGAGACAGAGGACACUUGGAAGACAGGUUGGAAUACCUGCAGGGUUUAAGAUAACUGACAUAAACUUGAACAAGGUAACUGGCGUAGCAAUUGUGGUCAACAGGAUGUAAGAGGUCUGUCGCAUCGAACAAGGCAAUGACUGGGGUGCUUUAAUGCUGGUGAUGAAGGUUGAUCAGCUUCGGGGGUGUGUUGUUAGUGCCAGGGUGCGAUGUGGAACAAACAAUGGUCUUCUCAAAGUCAUAAAAUAAAACUCAAGAAACGGAGUUCCAGAUGCCAAAAUUAGACUUUAUUGAACACAGUUUUUGUCUGUCCGGGCACCCAUAUUUCUACCUCUCUUUCUUACCAUAAUUGGUAGUUCCGUUUUUUUAUUGGCUAUGCCAAUGGCUAUGUCUGGUUUUCCACAAUUUAUUACUUGCCCAGCUGGUCCAUUUUUUAUUGGUGAAACUUGGCCUUAUCAACCAUUUUUAAGAAAACUUUCAUUUUGCCACCUACUACUGGUAGGCAGUGAUCCCAGAACACAUUCAUCAAAUCUGUCAACUUCUGGAACUCACCCAAAGUCAUAGUGUUACUUCAGUUAACAGGUGCAGUUCAAUGGAAAACUAGCAGUACUACCCAAUGGGAGGGCCUUUAUACAGCCAAAGAGUAUUUGGGAAUAAUUCAGCAUAUUGAUCAGUAUAUUGAUUACUUUCAUAGUCAUACAUAAUAGUUUAAACAAGAUAAUACCAUAUUGAGUAAUUAACAUUAUAUAUAUAAUAGAAUAACACAACAUAUUAAGAUGUGAGUAGGCUCUGGCGUAGCAGGCAUGACGUGAACAGGUGCUGGCUUGGCAGACAUGGUGUGAGUAGGCCUUGGCUUGGCUGGCGUGACGUGAACAACUCCUGACAUGACGGUUGGGACGUGGAAAAGUUCUGAUGUGGCGGGUACUGUGGGAUAGCUGUGUUCCUCAUCAGCAAUCCCCACAGUAAAUGAUGAACCAGCCAGGAAAAGAGCAUGGUCAAUAUAUUCCUCCAGGGACCAGUGAAUUUUUCCCCCAGGAAGCUGAGAGCAAAUGGGCUCAUUAAGACCCACCCGAAAUAUGUCCUUAAGGGCCACAUCAUUAAAAUCCACCAGAUGACACAAACCACAAAAGUCCUCCACAUAGUCCUCAAUGGCCUGGUUUCCUUGGCUAAGACGCAGGAGACGAACAACUGCUGGGUUCAUUUUUAGGGUCGUGUAUUCUGUCCACUGAAGGCAAGCGUAGCGAUGAACCCAAGUGCAGUUUUAUUCACAAUGGUACAAUCCAAAAUCCAAAUAUAAUCCAAACAGUAAACAAAGACUUGACUUGACUUGACUUGACUUGACUUGACUUGACUUGACUUGACUUGACUUGACUUGACUUGACUUGACUUACCGAUAGCAGGUUACAACGUUAAUACACGACAAGCGCUAAUGACAAAAACAUGACUACUUAUACAAACAAUGAGGGUCACAUGACAAGAGCAAACCAAUGGGAACAAGACACAUGACUAAAGCAACCAAUGAGAACAAACACAACUGAUAAUCACAUGACCAGACAAUAACCAAUGAGAACAUGACACAUACACAAAGCAGAGCUUCAGUAUGUGAUGUGUUUUCAGUACUAACUUGUGAAUUGAUUAUGUUAGUAGAUUCAUCUCUUUUCUCUGAUGCUAUUUGAAUGAAGCAGCAACCACAACCUGUCACACACAACAUUAAAGAGCAUCAAAACACUGUUUGAACUCCAUGAUAACCUCACACACUCCUUUGGUGUGUUCAUGGAUAUUUAUUUAUUUUAAGCAGAGAGAUGGGUACUAUGCAUUUCUUCUAAAAGAGACUUUGUGUGUUGAAAAGUUAUUUUACAGUUACAAACUAUUUUAUUUUCAAUAUUUGUGUUCAGGACAUGUGUUCUAUUCAUAUUUUCAGUUAGGUUUCAAGUAUAUUUUUUCACCUUUUACCACUGGGCAAUUACAGCACUUAAUUUUAGAAAUUGCCUAAUUUUACAAUUGCCUAAUUAUUUUAGGCAAAGGUGUUUCUGCUUAUGGUUUUUCCUUUUUAUUUUGAGACAUGUUAUUUAUUUAAUGUAAUUAAGUUGAUCAUUUUAAUUUGCAUUUUGAUAAAUUAGUAUGUAUUUUUUUUCUGCAAAUAUUAAGUGUUGCACUAUUCUUGUGCAACUCUUUGUUGUGUGCUGUACAUGCUAUAUAUUCAACAUUUUGAGAUUUGUUUUCUCCUUUACUUUUCUUCAUUUGUAAGAGAAAUAAUUAAUAAUAAAGUGUUUUAUAUGGAAAUACAUGUCUAUUAUUUGGUUGAACUUGCUAGUGUAUCUUACGAAUGUAUAAUUAUUUUAUGACCCCCUGUCAUAAUAUCCAUCAAUCAAAAUGUGAAUCAAUAACAUAAUUCUUACACGUAGGAGCUCUUGUCUUCGGUUCCAUCUCUCUUCUAUCCAGUUCCAUUGCUCUUCUAUCCAGUUCCAUCGCUCUUCUAUCCAGUUCCAUUGCUCUCUGACUGGACUGUAUGAUGAGAGAAUACAUUAAACUUUGUUUCUCAUGGACAUUUACAUUCAUUCAUUCAUUUAGAAAAGCAUGCUUCUAUUCCCUGAAUGUGGAUCUCUUAAUCUCAUCUCUUUAGCUUUUGAAACACAUCUUCAUUUGCACUUCAGGAUAACUAAAAUAUAAAAAUAUUUAAUUUUCUUAUGGCUUUAAUGUUCAAAACCUAUGAUCACACACCAACACACUGCAACAAAUAACAAGCCUUCAUCAGGGUGUUUUUUUUUUGUUGUUGUUUUUUUGGCCUUAUCUUCACUUGUUUAUCUUCAAAUUAAAUUUUUGGCUUCUCAAACUGUGCAUCAGAUUCUUAAGAUUCCAAAACACUCCAGUUGUUUUGUGAAAAAAGUUUAGCCUUAUGCAGUAUCAUUGCAUCAGUUUAAGUAAUUUGUCAGUGAUGUCUUACAUUUUUUUAACAUACAGCAUCCACUAUGAACAAAUGUAAUUUAAUAUUAAAACAACUGAAUUAAUUGUGAAUUACUUUUUAAGUUUAUAAGCUGCAUUAGUUGUUACAAA